UAGUGACUACGUUAUAUGAAAAUAGUCCACUAGGUGUCGCUAUAACACUUUUGGUAUACAGUAUUUUGAAAUGUUUUAAAGACCGUAAAUGCAGAAAUUGGUAUUUUUCUAAAUUCUCCUAUAUAAGCCAACCCUCUCCUCUCCACAUACCUUAAACUGCUGAAAUGCAGAAAUAAGGUUCUAGUUAAAAAUGUGUGUAAACCUGUACCUGCUG